UGAGUGGUGUACUGAUGUGGUGACUUCUCCU
rnacentral:piRNA from 1 species